rnacentral:rRNA from 1 species
AACGAACGCUGGCGGCAGGCUUCAUACAUGCAAGUCGAACGGCCCGCAAGGGCAGUGGCGCACGGGUGCGUAACACGUGGGAAUAUGCCCUUCAGUACGGAACAACGUCGGGAAACUGACGCUAAUACCGUAUAAUGUCUCCGGACCAAAGAUUUAUCGCUGAAGGAUUAGCCCGCGUCUGAUUAGGUAGUUGGAGAGGUAAUGGCUCACCAAGCCGACGAUCAGUGGCUGGUCUGAGAGGAUGAUCAGCCACACUGGGACUGAGACACGGCCCAGACUCCUACGGGAGGCAGCAGUAAGGAAUAUUGGACAAUGGGGGAAACCCUGAUCCAGCCAUGCCGCGUGAGUGAAGAAGGCCUUCGGGUUGUAAAGCUCUUUUACCCCUGACGAUAAUGACGGUAAGGGGAGAAAAAGCCACGGCUAACUUCGUGCCAGCCGCCGCAGUAA